rnacentral:tRNA from 1 species
GCUGAUAUGGUUCAGUUGGUAGAGCGCACCCUUGGUAAGGGUCAGGUCCCCAGUUCGACUCUGGGUAUCAGCACCA